ensembl:lncRNA
CUGCCUUAGACUUCUAUAAUAAUUACUAUAAUAAACACAGAUUGGUUGUGGGCUUUGCAAGCCAUCCAGUGAAGGAAGCGCUCAAACAGGCUCAGCUGCAGAAAGGGAGCAAUACAGGCUGAUGUAGUCAGAGAGAAAAGACUACAGGAAAAAAAGUGAGAGUUAAUCAGAAACCCUGAGGGUUUGGGAGGAAAAGAGCUUAUGAGUGAGAGGAAGACAUAUUUUGAUGGAGCACAGCCAAGCACAGUGCCCGUGGGCAAUGGUGAUCCCAAUGAAGUGGUGAGCAUGCUCUCAGACCACAAGAAGAUUCAUCCUUGCUGCUAGCCCACUGGUUCAACUGGAGACAAAGUCAAGCUGAAUAGAGUCCCAGCAUUCUCGAAUACAUAUUCUCUUCACAGUGGACAUCUAAGCUAAUUGUGCCUAUGCAGAAAAUGUGGAAGAAAAAUGAGGUUCUGCUCCUGACUUGACAAAACAGUACUGUUCACGUGGUUAACUUAUAUGCGAGAUUGCCUUCUGCUCAGGCUUUGUUCCUUGUGCCAGGCUCAGCUAUUUGUGCCUUUGGAUGCAGGGAAUCCAGCGUUGUCCCAUACAGCAGAGAAUAGAGAUGGAGCAAUACAGCCCAAGGUCAAGAGUGAGGUUUCAAGAGCAGCAGUGUUUCUGUUGUGAAAGGAUAUCAGAGCACGGCACCUUUUCCUGCAGCUGCUGCGUUUUGUUUGCUGCUGAUAAAAAGCCUCUGUGAGAAACGGCAAAUGGACCUGCAGAUCCACCACAGCUUUCAGUGAAAGCAGGAGCUCAAAGUGGUCCUGCUCACUGUUGCUUCUGCACUUCACCUUUCCUUCAUUCAUCCUGCCAGAGGAAUACUGACAGGUCUCACCCGUGAGUGACUCUGGGGCUCUUUGAUUUCUGGAGGAAAGGCUUUACAACGACAACUACGAGGCUGCGAUCUGAUAUUAAUCUCUGGAUGUUCAGUACAGAUAAAACAAGAAUUUGUGUACACUAUUCAAUUUUAUGAAGAGCAACACGGUGCCCUUGGCAGAUCCCUGAAUGACCUCUCCAGGCUUAACCAAACAAUAGACCCAGAUUUGUUAAGUGUCCUAGCAGACAGAUUUGUGAGCACUUCUAGAGAAGAGUUUAUUUACUCAGGGCAGCCCUUUCAGAAGAGAGACCUGAGUGCAGCUGCCUAAGUCCCAGUCUGUCACCCCAGCAGCUCAACUGCAGAAACCACGUUUCCAGAAGUGCUGUAAACAUUUGAGAAGCUGACCUCGCUCCAAUAAACUUCUGCUGACUUCAGUGUAUCACUUUGUACCAAGAUACAGCUCAUACUUAAAUACAUUUUCUUUGAAGAGUACAUGUGUCAUUGAAAGUCAAUGGAAAGUCAUUGAAGUGGCACCUAAUGGGUGACACGGUCCGAAUUAACACACGGUGUCUUAAUACCUAGCCUUGUUCUACUCUUUCCUUGGGAGGAACCACACUUUCUCUAUUUAGUUAUUCAUUCAUUUCAGUGGGACCUCUAGUAAUAAAAUCAGCCAUGCGUGUUUCAUGGUGCUGUAAUCAGAGUUUUCUGUCCUGGCUUUAGAAACUGAAUUUGUGAAGUAGUAGCAUAGAGAAGUGACAGUGGAAGAAUACGGGGAACAACAGAAAGGAGGAAUUAAUGUAUUUUUACCUUGAAUCAAGUCCAUCCUGUAAUAAGGGUCCCAAAGCCCAAUUUUUCUUGGUUCUGACCGCUCACAGCAUUUCUCAGCACGACAAACAGAGGCACACUCGAGCUUCUGAUGAUGUGCGCAUUAAACUGCAGGAGACCUACUUGGCCUCUUCUUUGGGAAACGUCUCAAACAGCAGAUGCUGGGCUAGAGUGGGACAAGCUUUGAUUAGAAGAAAGACUCUUUGGAACAUGUAAUAGUGGCAUAACAAUAUACAAACAGUAGCCACUGCGUUUAUGCCGGUGGAUGGCAGGUGAGUACAGCUCCCAUAGCCUCCAUCUAUCGCAGUGUCACUGCAGCAGGCUCACAUUGGUUUUUCGCUGCAGUUAGCAGCACUGAUGCUGUUGGUUAGCUGGAGAGGCAGCUCAGCAUGCAGAAGCACACACAGCUUGAAGAGGAGCUCUGGAGGUCGUUGGCUCACAUUUCAGGCUCCCUGGCAGGCUGCCUGACAGCAGACUUUUGAUUUCUUUGUGCAGGAAAGCACAGCAGCUUGGCUUUGCAACCUUGGGUUAAGACAAACAUGGCCUGGUGCAGGCAGUGCUCUGCUAACAUGCCAGACACCUCCAGUGCACUGCGGAGAGGUUUCUGCACACCUCUGGACCAACAGAUCCAGCAUAAGCAGUGGGAAAACUACUUCAGAGCACUUAGAGGGCUCAGCUUGGCACACAAAGGAGCACAGUUUGCUUACCGAUAGGAAACGUCUGCUUGCUGCCUCCAGGGCAAGCUGCUCAUCCUUGCAUCACUCUGCAAGAAAUGUGGGCAUGCACCUGAGCUCUCCCAUUGCCCCACCAGCCGUGAGCAUCCAGCACAGUAAGGUCACCUCC